GUCAUAUGCUUGUCUCAAAGAUUAAGCCAUGCAUGUCUCAGUACAAGCCAAAUUAAGGUGAAACCGCGAAAGGCUCAUUAAAUCAGUUAUGGUUCCUUAGAUCGUACCCACAAUUACUUGGAUAACUGUGGUAAUUCUAGAGCUAAUACAUGCAAACAGAGCUCCGACCGGAGACGGAAGGAGUGCUUUUAUUAGAUCAAAACCAAUCGGUGGCGGGUUCGCUCGUCAUCGUACAACUUGGUGACUCUGAAUAACUUUACGCUGAUCGCACGGUCAUCGCACCGGCGACGCAUCUUUCAAAUGUCUGACUUAUCAACUGUCGAUGGUAGGUUCUGCGCCUACCAUGGUUGUAACGGGUAACGGGGAAUCAGGGUUCGAUUCCGGAGAGGGAGCCUGAGAAACGGCUACCACAUCCAAGGAAGGCAGCAGGCGCGCAAAUUACCCACUCCCGGCACGGGGAGGUAGUGACGAAAAAUAACGAUACGGGACUCAUCCGAGGCCCCGUAAUCGGAAUGAGUACACUCUAAACCCUUUAACGAGGAUCAAUUGGAGGGCAAGUCUGGUGCCAGCAGCCGCGG
rnacentral:rRNA from 2 species